rnacentral:tRNA from 1 species
GGGGUCGUCGUCUAGCAUGGUCUAGGAUUCUACCCUGGGGCGGUAGUGAUCGUGGGUUCAAAUCCCACCGACCCCA